CCUACGGGUGGCUGCAGUGAGGAAUAUUGGUCAAUGGGCGCGAGCCUGAACCAGCCAAGUAGCGUGAAGGAUGACGGCUCUACGGGUUGUAAACUUCUUUUAUAAGGGAAUAAAGUGCGGCACGAGUGCCUGGUUGUACGUACUUUAUGAAUAAGGAUCGGAUAACUCCGUGCAAGCCGCCGCGGUAAUACGGAGGAUCCGAGCGUUAUCCGGAUUUAUUGGGUGUCAAGGGAGCGUAGAUGGGUUGUUAAGUCAGUUGUGAAAGUUCGGGGCUCAACCGUGAAACUGCAUGUGAUACUGGUCGUCUAGAGUACAGUUGCGGGAGGCGGAAUGCGUGGUGUAGCGGUGAAAUGCGUAGAUAUCAUGAAGAACACCGAUUGCGAAGGCAGCUUACUAAACUUGCACUGACGUUGAUGCACGAAAGUGUGGGUAGCAAACAGGAUUAGAUACCCGUGUAGUC
rnacentral:rRNA from 1 species